rnacentral:tRNA from 1 species
UUUUCUAUAGUGUAAAUAUAACACAUAACACCUUCAUUGUUAAAAUAGAUCAAUCUUAGAAACA